GGGCUCCUUACUUAUGCCAGAAAUAAAAAGCUGUACCAGAUGUCUUGUCUUUAAGGAGCUAUUUGUCUAAUAUAAAGGAAUUUCUACAGUAAUUUAUUCUUAUUCUUAAUUACCAAAUUGGGUGGUAAGAAUGUAUGAAAUUUUGUUAUAAACGUUAAUGCAGCAUGUUACCAUGUUUUCCUUAAAAGUAUGGGCUAGGGUCCUAUCCCUCUGGGUCAACUAGAGGCCAGUGCUCUCUGGCCACCUGUAAAUUCUAGUAUCUAAUAGGGCUUUAAGAAUUCUAUCCUUCUCUGUCUUCUUUAUGGAAUUUGUGCUUUCUUAUUUAUGCACUUUGACUUCUAGGUUUUUAAUUUUAUGAACAUAGUACUUUUUUGUUUAUUUAUUUUGUUUUUUAGCUGACAAUGGACCUUUAUUUUAUUUAUUUAUAUACAGUGCUGAGAAUCGAACCCAGGGCCUCACCUGGGCUAGGCAAGUGCUCUACCACUGAGCCUGAACACAGUACUUUUGAGAUUAACACAGAUGUCAGAACAGUCAUAUUUGAUCCUCUUGUGACUUAGUUGAAACACUUCAUCUCAUGACUGCUAUUUGAAGUCUCCUGAAAAAAACAUUAAAGUGAAAGUCAAUAGAGCCAAGAAUGUAUUAAGAUCUUUCAUUUAAAAUAUGAACUCUCUUGACACAACCCUUCAAAAUUUCCAGGAACUGCUCUUAAGUUAUGGGCUCUUAAUUUUUUUUCCUGAUUAGUAGUAGGUGAAAAAGCUUACCUGUCAAUUUUCCCCCCAAAACUAUUUCUAUA
rnacentral:lncRNA from 1 species